GGCUAGAGGUAGCUGGAGCACACCGGUAGCGUGGAGAAAGAGAAGAGGCUGGAGUGAGCAGCUACAUGCUCACUCCCAUCAGUCUCAGCCAGUAUACAAGGUAAGCUAAGAGUGGCUGCAGAUCAAAUUUUUAUGCCUUGUGUGUGUAUGUGGUAUAGUGUGUGUCAGUGUAUAUCUGACUGUGUGUGUAUAUGUGCAAGUGUGUGUAUCUGUGUGUAUUUGAGUGUGUGUGUGUGUGUGUUUAUCUGUGUGUCAGUGGGUAUCUGAGUGAGUGCAUAUGUACCAUUGUGUGUAUCUGUAUGUAUCUAAGUGUUUGUAUGUGCCAGUGAGUGUAUAUACCAGUCUGUAUAUCUGUGUGUAUUUGAGUGUGUGUGUAUCUGUAUGUCAGUGUGUAUCUGAGUGUGUGUGUGUGCCAGUGUGUGUAUCUGUGUAUGUAUGUGACAGUGUGUGUAUGCGUCAGUGUCCGUAUCUGUCUGUGUAUGUGACAGUGUAUGUGUAUGUGUCAGUGUCUGUAUCUAUGUGUCAAGGUGUGUGCAUGAGUCUGUUUGUUAAUAGCGUCUGCAAAUAGGUGUAAUAUGUAAAUAGUUGUGUUCUGUCAUAAUAAAAUAUCAUGUCAUUGUUCAUACAUGUUUGAUGGCUGUGUGAGUUUUGGGACGCGCAUGUGUGUGUGUUUACGUGUGCAUGUGUGGCAGUGCGCGGGUGGGGUGUGAAGCCACCUCCCUGAAAUGAGCUUUUGCUUGUUGGGAUAUCUGCUUUAAUUAGUAGGAAGUUUUGUGCCGUGCAUAUCCCACUUUUAGCAUAUUUGUAGGUUCAAGCUAUUAGAAAAAUAUGAUGCAGAGUUAGCACAUAAAACGUAGGACAAAACAGUGUACAUAGAAUGAUGCCAUUGCACUUACAGUUUCUCUGUGAGAUGCCAAUGGACGAAAUGUAGUCCAAGGGGAGAAAUUUGUUCUUUAGAGAGAGGCCUGGCACAUGAGUGGAAGAGGCUUUAUGUAAUAAAUGUAUCUUCCCAUUGCUUUGCAGUGUCCAUAUAUGCACUGGUUUGGUAGGAAAGGGAUACAUAAUUUCCCAUUGAUUCUGUUCUGUCAAGAAUAAAUGUUUUUUAUAUACAUAGGACUUGUUCCAUUUCUAUCACUGUGUUGAGGAUUGAAGAGAGUGCAGAGGCAGUUGUUUAGUUAGUACAAAAUAUGUAUGUUUUACCAGUUAUCAAUGUCUUGCAGCUUUUCCACAGGUGUUUGCUCUUGAGAAAUACAGUGUGCCCAGAAUUUCUGACAUUCCAAAAAUUACUGGGGGAGGGUUAGGUAUACUGAUCAGAUCUACUUUAUUACUUUUCUGAAGGCAACAUGCAAACAUUUUGUAUUUAGCAUGAACUCAGCAGUUUGAUAUUAAAGGGACACUAUAGUCACCAAUUUAAUGUCCCUGCAGGCUUUUUGCAGUAAGCAGUCUUUUCAGAGAAAAUACAGUGUUUACAUUACAGCCUAGUAUCAACUCCGGUAGUAGCCACUAGAGGUGCUUCCUGGGUCAGUACUGCACAAUGUGCAGCACUAACUUUCAGCGUCUCUACACUCUACAUAUAGACGUUGAAUUUUCCCCAUACAGAUGCAAUGAUUCAAUGCAUCUCUACGAAGAGAAGGUUAUUUGGCCAGGGCGGCAUUUCCCCCCACACACACCAUUGGCUGAUAUCAUCAAAAUUGACAAUCUCAGUACAUCCAAUGCUUACCUGUGGGAAAGCAUUAUGAUUGGCUGAGGUUAUCAAUUCUGAUUAUGUCAUCCAAGGGCAAUGGGGAGGCUCUCUGGCCAAGACAGGUUAGUUUCUUGGGCCAUUUUUAACAUUCUAGCUAGGGUGCCAUUCAUGCGCUCUACCGUGCCACUGCUCUGAGGGUGAUAGGGUGUGUGGAAUGCAAGGGUCACCCCCAGUGCUUCCAAGAUUUCUUUGGUUACUGAUGCAGUGAAGGCUGGUCCCUGAUCACUUUCUAUUACCUCGGGGACCCCAUAUCUGCAUAUUACUUCGGUGAGCAGGCGUUUGGCUGUGGUUUUGGCUGUCAUAUUGGUGACUGGGUAGGCCUCUGGCCAUCCUGAGAACAUAUCCACUAUGACUAGUGCAUAUUCAAAACGGCCACUCUUUGGCAUUUGAAUGUGGUUAAUGUGACAGAACAAUCUGUCUGUCUAUUGUGGUGGAUUCGUCUAUCUCUGCCCCCUUUCGUGUAAAUGGCUGUUUCUAUAGCCCAGCCAAACAAAUCCACCGAACGGAUGGCCACCCAGAAUAAGAAGUGUGCUGCUGGUUAACCUCUUGAUCCCAAUUAGAAUGUUGUGGUUAACUGCAGACACUUCUCAAUUAAACCAAAUUCAGGGUGAUCGUCGUUCGUAUGUCGACCACGAGGCAGCGGCCAUUUUAAAAUGCACGAAAGCCCAGCGGUGUUUGGCAUUGAUUCCAUGGAACUAAAAACGGACACUUUUUCUGCCGAACACCGCUGAAACAACGGAUCGCCUGGCUGCCUCGACGAAAGCGUACGAACACCGGCUGUUCGGGAGUUUGGAAACACACGAAAGGACUUAACCCAGAUAGCCUUCCCAUGGAGUCAAUCGCAUACCGAAAGACUGUAAGAACUUUGACUCCAUGGCGAUUGAACUAUGUGUGUGGGAUCUGAGCGCUAUUCGCCAAUAAUAUGCACUCAGAUCCAGGCUAUCUGGGGAUAUGUGAUGUGAAUGGGAAAUGUUCGGUUAUUUUAAAGUUAUGUAUUUUUAUGUAUUUUCUGGUGUUGUGUUUAAGAUGGUGAUUUGUCCUUGUCCUGGAGAUAAUUGAAUUACUUCUCAAUUAUCUCCAGGGCAGAGGGGAGGAAACCAUAUUGCAUUAUGGGAAAAGCUUGUGACUGUACGUCUGAAAUGUCCCCAUGUCCAUCUGUAAUUCCAGUCUCCCAUUUGGUCCCCUAAGGGAGUGUCCACCAAGUGGGAGACCUGCAUAAAUACGGGCAGGUAGCACACAGUAAAGCCAGAUCCUGUUUGACCCUCAAUGCGGAGCUUCUGUCUCGUUAUUGGGGGGAUUUCUUAUUUGCGCUUAGAGACUGCUUAUUGGAUCCGAAAGCCGCUUGGUGGAUAUCGUUGUUCGGCGGCUAGCAGCAGUUCGUGGAUUUCCGUUCGGGAGUUUGGAGUCUUUCACGGAUCCCAGUCGGGAGAUUACCGCUUCCCCUGAUGGUGGUUCGUAUACUGCAGUCUAUGCGAACUGAGUUAUUGGUAUUGCAGAAGGGGAAGGCUAACUAAACGGCGGUUUCGUUUAAAGACACCAGGGGUGUCUUAACAGUCAAUUUGGAUUCUUUGGAAAGGAUAGUGGGGUUUAGCCAGAUGCUUUGAGGGGGGCUUUUUCCAUCCUGCCUGGGUUGCACUUGGUGCAGAUGGUGAAGGAUCUGCAGUAACUGUUUGUCAAGGAGGUAAUCCUUGGUGCUUCAUAGUAUUUGUUGAUCAGGGAGUUCAUGAGGGUCCUGGACAGGUGUGAAGUUCCAUGUGCCCACUGGACCACUGCUGAGUACAUGCUCUUGGGUAAGCAGAACCUGAGGUUAUUGGAGUACAACCCGUCUUGAAGGGUUGCCCCUUACUGUUCCCAGCAUUGUAUUUCUUCAGGAUCAGCAGCUGCUUUUAGUUCCUUCAGGAGCUUCAGGUCUGUGGGUAAGGUCUGCAUGGGGAAUAUGGGGAUUUCUUCAGCGGACACUCUUCUGUCCACUUCUCAUGGUGCACACGCGGCUUGCUUGGUGGCUUGAUCAGCUAGAUGGUUGCCUCGUGCUUCAUCUGAGUUCAAUUUCCCGUGAGCCUUUACCUUCAGUAUGGCCACUUCUUCAGGGAGGAGUAGGGCAUCCAUCAGAUCCUUGAUAGUCGUGCUGUGUUUGACCAGUGUGCCAGUUGCUGUGAGAAAUCCUCUUGUUUUCCAGAUUAGUCCAAAGUCAUGGGCCACGCCUAGUGCAUAUCUUGAGUCACUGUAGAUAUUGGCGCGUUUUCCUUCAGAGAUCUUGCAUGCUGUGGUAAGGGCCUGUAACUCAGCUUCUUGUGCAGACAUGGUUGAAGGGAGUGAGGAUGUUUGGAGUAUUGCAUCCACUGUGGUGACUGCAAAUCCAGUAUGAUAUCUGCCUUGUUCAUCAGCAUAUCUGGACCAAUCCACAAACAGGGUGAGGUCAGGCUCUUGUAAGGCAUCUUCAUGUACAGUUGGGAAGUGUGUUGUCUCCAUCUUCAUCUGUUCAAAGCAAUCAUGGGGUGCAUCCGGAUCUUGGUCUGUAGGAGGAGUCUCGGUGCAUAUCUCUGCGUGGAAUUGGGGAAAGCCAAUUGCCCUGCAGUUCAGGGUUUCCUUGGUGACACCCUCUUCAGAGAGCUGGGUCUGGUCCUCAGUGAUCCAUGAUUUGGCCAAUGGGCCGAGUUCCUUCCAUGAGGUCUGGGGAGACUUAGUUAAAGAGAUGUGUGGGACAGCUAAGUCCCAGUGAUGGUGUAGGUGAGUUACCUCCGAAGGCAGGAGGACUAGGGCCACGCUGUUGCCUUUAGAAUCAUAGAAGAGGUCUGUUAUGGCAAUUGGAACAGGUCUUAUUCAUAGUGGGGGUCGGGUCCUGGGGUAUUUCUGUACCACAAGGUGCAGUGAGGGAAGGUCUGAGUAUCAUGUGGGACGGGGGACAUGACUUUUUUAGUCNNNNNNNNNNNNNNNNNNNNNNNNNNNNNNNNNNNNNNNNNNNNNNNNNNNNNNNNNNNNNNNNNNNNNNNNNNNNNNNNNNNNNNNNNNNNNNNNNNNNGUCCAGGAUCAAAGCCAUUGCCUUUGCAAACUGACUGAGAGAGUUUUGUGCUCCUUGAGGCAUGACAGUCCAGGUGUAUUGCUGACGUUCAUGGGUGAAGGUGAACAGAUAUUGACAUGAAGGAUCUAGGGGUACACUGAAGAAUGCAUUAGCCAAAUCCACAAUUGUGAAGUACCUGGAGGAAGGUGGGACUCCUGACAGGAGGGUGUGUGGGUUAGGCACAAUAGGGGUGUCCAGAACGGUUGCUUCAUUAACAGCCCGGAGGUCCUGGACCAUUCUGUAUUUCUCAGGUUCCCCUUUGGCAGUUUUCUUCUUCACGGGGAACAGGGGAGUAUUGCAGGGAGACUAACAGGGGAUCCAGGCACCAUUGGACACUAGGGUCUUAACCUGCAGGCUUCAGAGGGUAUUGCGGCUUACGGGGGAGGCAGGCCCCUGGGAUUAACUUCACUAGGACUGGAGGGACAUGAAGGAGUCCAAUAUCCCCUGGGCUGUUGACCACAACUUGGUGAGUACUCUGUCUAAAGCACUGGGAGGUGUGUCUGGAACCCUUGCAUUCUUGGCAGGUUCUUCAAUGUGAAGUAAGAGGGGUAGCAAGCAGAGGGCCGAUGCAUCAGCAACAGAUAGGGGGAGAAGACAUUUUAAUUUGGCCAUCUGGGGUAAAGGUGAUAGAAGCCUGCAAGCGGGAGAGGACAUCUGCACCCAACAAAUUCAUAGGUGGAGGAUACUACAAAACCGGCUAGGAGGUCGGAUGGAACACUUUCAAGGGCUGGGUGAGAGGGCUAGAUCGAGGAGUGCCAUCUACCCAUAUGCAAGAGACAUCAAUAUUAGACAGGAAUAAGGAGUCAGGCAGGUCUUGUUCUUUAAGGACGCUCCUGACUGCGUCUGUGUCAACUAAGAAGGUGGUAGGGUGGCCUUCUACAGACAGUACCACCCUUGCUAGGGUCCCUCCCUUAUCCCCAUAAGACACUGCCAUAACAGGGGUAGGUGACACAGGUUUGCCAGUUACCUAGCGUAAGAGAUCCAGGUGAGCCUGGUCAGGGCCAGUGGAGGGGCGGUUGGCAGCAGGAUUGCUGGUUGCUGGGUAGCUGGCUGCUGGGUGACUGGGAGCAGGGUGACUAGCUGCAGGGUAGAGCGGUCUUCUAUCCUGUGGGGGAGUCUGUCUAAAAACUCUUGGGGGGCCACAGUCCCUUUUGAAAUGACCCGGUUGUCCAAAGUUGAAACUAUUUUUAUGCUGUGGUAUAGGGGGGUUGACCAAUAGGUAGGCCCAGGCCUGAAGGUUGGGACAUACGGUAGUAUGGGCAAACAUGAGGGGGGCUGGCUUCCUGGGGAGUUGGAAGGAUUCUAGGCCUUUUGCAACCAGCAGGAGGGUGUCCAAGGGAAGCACCCUAUACUCGGGGCGGGACAGAAGCAGGCUUUUGCGUAGAGAUUCUUUAAGGCCUGCUACAGAGGCCGCAGAUAACAUUUGGGUAUGGGCCUUGUUAUACAUGCUGAAACCCAGAUCGGAGAAGACUUGGGAUAACCUGGUGUGAUAUUUCUCCACAGACUCUGUCUUAUCUUGUGAUAUCGUUAAUGUAAGUGGCCUGGUCAGCUAAUUUAUCUUUGGCCCAGUCUCGGAGCUGUUCACAGAACUCUAUGCCCGUGGCAUAAUUGGUAUCGCUAGUGAGUCGGGCACUGGAAAGACUUUUCUCCAUGAUAGGCCAGUAAGCAUCUCCUGCUUUUAUUUCACAGAGAUUAAGUAAGUCACGCCAUGUGGCAGAAUAGGUCUUUUGGACCUGGACAAUCCUUCGGUAGAAGGGCAUAGGUUGUUUCUCUGGGUCCGGAUGGGAGCCCACUAGGGUACAGUCUGGGACGGAGUAAAGGUGACGUACAUUAAGGGGGCCCCUUCCGUGAGAAACCGGGCCUUGCGGUUCCCAUCAUGAGGUUGUGGAGGACCGCCCCCAAGUAGGCCAUCGUCGUCAGGAGGGAUCUGGUACCCAUGGGAACUGGCGGCCUCAAAGGAGUGUGAACCCUGUAGGCUGCACAUAGGGGAGAGGCAUAAGGGUUGAAGGGGAGUGGGCAGGACCUGGACUCCCCCUUGGGGCGUGUGAGCAGGCGGAUCAUCCGUGGUAACUAGGGGUCCGUCUAUGAAGGGCAUGACAAAGGCUGAGGUAAUAGGGGCUGGAAGGGGAGGCACAGCAGGGGUAGACAUAACAGGGGCAGAGGUAAUAGGGGCGGGCAGAGAGGGCAUGAAAGGGGCAGCGGAAUAGAGUGUUCCAUCCGCCUUAAGGACGGGGUAUACGGGGGGUGGUUGUCGAUACUGGGAAUAUGGUGGAGGUCAUGGGGGCCGGGCCGACCUCCUUCCCUUUGUGCCAGUAUCCAUCAUAGGGCGAUGGCUGACCUGUACCUUCAGUAUUACAAGUACCUUCAUGAUAUACGUACAUUCUGUGACCACCUAGGUCUAUUUCAUCCUCCACCCACCCCACCUGGUGAAUUGCUCUGGCAACUCUAUACCAGGCAUCUGCUGUCUGUACUAGCUUGCUGUCCUGCAACAAUCCCUUCUUCUCUUUUAGCAGCUUGCGCCAGCCUUCUGGCUGUAGCCGCCCGCUGGCAGACAUAUUAAUGCCACAUAUCUUAGCUACCUUCUUCACCUUCCCCACUGCCUCCUCACCCUCUCUCUCUCUCUCACUAAAUCACAUGCUAACCAACCCUUACUGGGUUUCUCUAGCUUCUGUCCAAUCCUCUCUAAUCAAGAUAUCACAAGAUAGAGACAAAUAGGAAAGAGAACGUAUACAGUGCUCGACUGCCACAGAGGUUUACCCUGCGUGCGUCUUCACAAAACAUAGACUAAUCACUAGGUCCGCCCACCCCAGGUGACCGCAGACGGGAGUGUAGCGAGCAGUGCGUGACCAAACACUUCUCUCAACAAAGUGUACAAGAGGCAGGAGACAAACAGAACGCAACUUUACAUUUACUGCAGACACAAAACCAAGAAGCAUAUACAGUUAAACCACAUUUACCCUUCACAGACCCUGUACCCGAUACCCUCUGCAAUACCGCUUGCUACACCGCACACGGCUUGUAGAAGUCCCCCCCGCAAUGCAGUUUGCUACACUGCACACGGCCACUGCAGGGAAACCCCCCCUCCUGCAAAGCUGCUUGCUACACCGCACACGGCUACUGCAGGAAUACCCCCAUACAAAGCAGCUUGCUACACCGCACAUGGCUAUUGUAGGGAUUCCUCCCCUACAAUGCCGCUUGCUACACCGCACACGGCUAUUGUAGGGGCGCACUCAUACAACAUACAUUCAUACCCAGGAGGCAGAUAUUCAAUAUACAGGUUCUAUACAAAAGAGACUCCGGGCAAGUUAUUUACCUGUCUUUGGUGCCCUGCGGCAGCCGAUACAGACACGGAGACAGGCCAAUCACAGAGACAGGAUAUAUAGGCAAGGUGCUAAGCCAGUCAUUACCGUAUAUCAGAGGUGAUCAGUCUCUGUCCCGUCACUGCAGGUCUGCCUCAGCAUCUUCUAGGACGGCCGUCAACGGGGACAGAACAUGGAGCCCCACGUUGGGCGCCAAAUUGUUUUAGACCAAACCAGGUGUUUGCGUGAAUAUCUGCCCCUGUCCAAAUAUUUAAGGUGAAAUGAUGCGUGCACGCUGAAGAAAUCACACUGACAACAAAGUUCAGUUAAAAUAAAAACUUUGAAGUGUAUUAUCAGGGGGUGGCGUAGCCCUUUAAAAAUUCAAAAGAAUGCAACGUGUGCAAAUACAGAAAGUAAACUUUUUAGUAGGUUUUUUAGUAAGUAAACAUUUAAUUGGUUAGAUGUUAGGUGUUUUAUCUUGAUGGACGCCAUCUUACUACCCGAGGGUCUUGGUCGAUGGGAGGGGGUGCUCUAGCAGCCAUUUUGAGUAAUUAAUGAGCACAGGUACACAUAGUAAAUAGACAUUUUACUCACAUUAAUUUCUGUCCAUCACAGGGGGGGGGGGGGCAAACACAUAAGGAAGCACCCCAACCUACAUACACCUUUCCACAUAUAACACUCGGCAACAACACAAUUUCACACUUAUACAACACACACAAAAAUUAUUAAAAAUAAAUCUGGAGAAUAUAUCAGCUUUUUCCAACUCUGAAGCUUAUUUGAAGCUCAUAAAAUUAUAUUUAAUGCAAAGGUCUAUAAGAUAAAGAACAAAACAACCUGCAGAUGAGGUAUAAACCCUUUCCUUCACAUUUCAGAAUUCCCUGCCAACUUGAGUCUAUAUCGCCAAUAUGUGUUUUGCCAGCUAGGGCUGCUGUUGACAAUCAGGCAGUUCAAAUUGGCAAGGAAUAGCACACUGUCAGCAGUAGUGGAGAAUAGACUGAGCUGCAUUUUGCAAACACAGGCAUCGGUUUGGCCUUGUUAAAGAUGAAAAACGUAUUUGUAGAAACCAGCUAUUCUAAAUAAAUUACAUAAGAGUCAGUAACAAACGUGAGUUUAAAUAAUAUAUGUAUUUUGUCGGCUAUUAACUCUUUGGGGGGGGGGGGAAACUGUAAAAAGAGUUUUAUGCUGAGGAUUUUCAUAAAAAUCACAGGAAUUUAUGCUUCAAAUUUGACACUCACAGAACGCUUCAAUUCAUAUAUUUUGUGUGUUAUGUAGACUUUUUUUAUAGAUAAAAUACAUUGAGGAAGUUCUUAUUAUUUAACUAGUUGUGUUAGUAAAACUAGCAAAUAGAAGUCUCAAAGAGAACCUUUAAUGCACUGUCUACUCCUCCCACAAUGCAUCUGUGUGACUGGUAGAAGGACUGCCACAGCGUUUUGACUACCAGGAAGUCCAAGGAACGUAAGCAAAGGCUGAUGGGAAAUGGCAAAACACAGAGGUUGGCAGAAUCUGCUUGAUGCUCAGCCCAGUGGCACAUUUUCCUAAAAAUCUAUACAACAAGGUAGUACUUAGUUAUUUGCAGAUUCUAUUUCCAAUUUAGCUAUUUUGGCCCAAUAUUUGAAAUUCACUUUAAAUUCAUUUGGAAUGCCAGACAAUUCGUACUUUAACCCCUUAAGGACCAAGCUUCUGGAAUGAAAGGGAAUCAUGACAUGUCACACAUGUCAUGUGUCCUUAAGGGAUUAAAGAACUUUGUCAGGUUUUAUGAGUUUUUCUUAGAGAUUUUAUCAUAUUUUAAAAUUGUGACUUUGCUACUUAUGGUAACUUUAAAUGAACAGUCCGGACCUCUAAAGCACUUCACCUUGCUGAAAUUUGUGUGAACACUUUGUCCUCUUUUUUCAUUUUACAAAAAGUGCAGGUUUCAAUAGAAAUUGGUACUUUUAUAAACUAUCCUUGUUACGUUGUUCGUCAAUCAGACAACCGGUCCUGUUACUUCCUGGUUGUUUAGCUCACUGGAGCUAAACUCAAGAGGCAGCAAUUGCUCAGAGCACCUGCUCUGCAAAGACUUCUCAUUGAACUCAAGGCCGGUGCAAGGAUUUUUGCCGCGCUAUGCAAAAGUAAAGUUUGCCACCCCCACCCCAUGUGACAUCACAAUGCUCCACCGAUAUGAUCUGCCAUGUUAACUAACGCCAAUGCAGCACUGCCGCCGUGUUUACAUUAUAAGGCAUGCAGGGACAGGCUAUAGACACCAGAACAACUACAUUAAGCUGCAGUGGUUCUGGGGACUAUAGUGUUUCUUUAAUGUGAGGUAAAUUAGAGCUUAGUGCCACGAAUAAUAUACUAGAUUGCCUACUUACAACCAGAUGAGGAUGAUGAUGGGCUCUAGCUGCAGUCUGGCUCCAGUCGUCUGGUGUAGAACAGGGUCUCUGGAGGCUGUUUGUAACUGUGGUCACAAAAAUCAAUGUUCUGGGAGAACGGGAAGCAGCUCCAUUUUUUGGGGGCCCUUUACACAGCUCAAAGUCUGGGUCCCAGGGUCCACCUUCAUGUUCCACCAAUGAGUUUGUUCACAGGGGGUGGAGUGUGUAGGGGAUGUCCUGAUAUGUGUGUAAGGAAUGCAUUGUGUGAAUCUGUGUUUGUAUGUGUAAGGGCUGCAAGGUGUGUUUCUGUGUAUGUACAGGAUGCAGUGUGUGCGUGUGUAAGGGGUGCAUUGAGUGUGUGUAAGGGGUGCAUUGAGUGUGUGUAAGGGAUGCAUUAUGUGUAAGGGUUGCAUUGUUUGUGUGUGUGUGUCUGUGUGUGUAAUGCAUUGUGUGUUUUUCUGUGUGCAAGGAGUGCAUUGCGUGUGUGAUGGAUGUCAAUCUCUCCCCCCCUCCCUUGUCACUCUCUUCUCCCCCCUCUCGCUCCCUUGUCACUCUCUUCUCCCCCCCUCCCUCCCAUGUCACUCUCUUCUCCCCCCCUUGUCACUCUCUUCUCCCCUCCCCCUCCCCACUCUCAUAGCCCCUCCCUCCCCUGUCACUCUCACCCCUCGUCAAUUUCUUUCUAACCCCGUCAAUUUCUUCUCCCCCCACCAAUUUCUUCUUCUCCCCCUCCCCAUUUCUUCUCCCCCCUAUCAAUUUCUUCUCCCCCCUACCAAUUUCUUCUUCUCUCCCCUCCCCUACCAAUUUCUUAUUCUCCCCCUCCCCUACCAAUUUCUUCUUCUCCCCCCUCCCUUACCAAUUUCUUCUUGUCCCACCCUCCGCAUUUCUUCUUCUCCCCCCUCCUGCCAAUUUCUUCUCCUCCCCCCCCUGCCAGUUUCUCUUCUCCCCCCUUCCCCUACCAAUUUCUUCUUCUCCCACCCUCCCCAUUUUCUUCUUCUCCCCCCUCCUGCCAAUUUCUUCUCCUCCCCAUCCCCUGCCAAUUUCUUCUCCCCCCCUCCCUGCCAAUUUCUUCUUCUCCCCCUCCUGCCAAUUUUCUUCUUCUCCCCUGCCAAUUUCUUCUUCUCCCCCUCCUGCCAAUUUCUUCUUCUCCCCUCCCCUGCCUCCCCCCUCCUGCCCAAUUUCUUCUUCUCCCCCUCCCUGCCAAUUUCUUCUCCUCCCCCCUCUACCUCUGUUGUAGCGUGGCCGAGCCCUCUAUUGGUCCGCGGGUACAGGGAGCUUUUGUACAGACAGCUGCUCCCUGUACCCGCGGACCAAUAGAGGGCUCGGCCACGCUACAGGGAGGGAGUGACAGGAGGGAGCGCUGAGCGCUUCCCUCCUGUCAGCCCCUCUCCUCAGGCUGCGCCCGGGCGGUGCGGUCCGCCCUCAUGGACGCACCGCCUGGGAAAAGCUGCAGUCGCCUGAGGCUCUCUGCAGAGUGCUCGGGCGGCUGCAGCAUGGGGGGGCCGUCGCUCCUGGGGCUGCCUAGUCCGCCUAACAGGUAGCUCCGGCCCUGAUUGAGCUGCACUGGGAAAAAUAUUACAAAUAGGUAAUAGCAACAUUCACCAGGGCCAGUGCAAGGAUUUUGGCUACACAAGCAAAGACACAUUUUGCCCCCCCCCCCAAAACGCAUCUUCGCCGGUGUACGGGUGUGUGUAAUAUCCCUCUUUUGCUCCUCAUACCCAUCCUUUUGCCCUUUUUCUGUUUUACCCCUUUUACUCUUAUGUUGUUUAUAUUCCCCCAUUUUAUGUUUAUCCCUCCAUUGAGGUCCCUUACCUCUGAUUUUUCUUUUACCCCUAUUGUAUCUCAUAUCCACCCUUUUAAAAGUGAAUUUUAAAUUUAAGUUCAAAAUAACCAAAUUGGGUAAGCUUUUAGUUGGACUACUCUGGCCUUCUGUUUGAAGUUUGACAAAAGUUGACAAAGGGAAGAGCUCCCAUGUCGACUUUUGUUCAAUCCCAGGAGCUGUCACAAAUUACAGGUUUUGUCAAUGGAGGGUCCAGUGUUCUUGUGUGUUGUACUAUUGUGUAUGCGCAAGAGUUCAGCAGUGACGUGGCUCCUGGCAGCUGAAGUUUCAGGAGCCUAAGAUGACCUGUAUCAUGAACAUGACAGCCGUAAGUAAGUAAAACUCACCUCUCCUGCACCUGUGGCCAUCAGACCCCCACCAGAUCUGUCCGCUUUGUAGGUGUUUGUGAAAUAUGCAAAGACCCCCAAAACUGAUAGACUCCCAAUUUUGUGUUUCUUACUUGCAUCUUGUGUCACUUACCCCCAUCACGUCGUCCCCCGUUUCCCAGCUUGUGUCUCCUACUCCCCCCCUUUGUGACUGUUACUCCCCCCAUUUCUCUUACUCUUUGUUUCUCAUGCUCCCCUUACAUUUGUGGCUGUUACCAUCUCAUUAGCAUGUCCUUGAAGAUCAAGGUUGAAGGUCUUCUUUAUCCUUCACCAAAACAACACAGGUCUGAUUGAACUUGAUGACAUUCAGAAAAUGAUACAACCAACACAGACUUUGCUCCAUCGCUGAAUCCUUGGAAGUAUAAAAAAAUGGUAACAACGGUUACAUUACAUUGCUCGCUUGUUAUCGUAGGCUUUGUUGAAGACGACAGAAGAGCAUAUUGUUUGCAUUUCUUCUUUUUGUAACUUACUGGGGAAUUUCUUGGCAUAAAAUGUUUGGUAUUUUCCCACAGUUCUGUUUAAGCUUAAAAACUAAAACAUGGAAGAUAAACUCUGUUUCUUUUUUCUUCUAAUAUCCAAAGCUGUUCUUGAUAAACCACACAGUAGGCAGGUUAGCUCAUUCCGUAUAAUUGUUGUGAUACCUGUUUAGUUUUCACUUAUCAAAUGUAUUUCCCAAGAUGAUUGUCAGCUCACACAGCUUACUGUUUAACGAAUAAACAUUCUGGCAUACAUAGGGUUCAGUGGAGAUCUCCUUACUAGGUAAAGAGAUAGCAUUUGCCAUCCAUAUGAAUUUUUCAUAUUUGUAUUAUCUUCUAUAUAGCCCAACAGUCCCAGAACCAAUGAGACAGUCCUGAUGUGCGACUCCAGUCCCAUCAAUCUUUUUUUUUUUUUAUCCUUUUGAAGUGCUUCUUUAAUCGCCAGAGAAAUGCCCCCCAGGUGAGUGCACUUUUCUCUUUCUGGUUGCCUCUGAUUAUCAGUGAUGUAUUUGGGGAUUUUUUUUCACUGAACAUUGCAAUAAACUGAAAACCAGCUUUUACAGUGUAGGAUAAAAUAACCAUGCUGUAAAUAUAGCAGAUCUUAAGAUUUGUUCCCCCCAAGUCAGCACUGCAGUUUGGUUUUGAUGUCACUACAUUGUGUCAGUGACAUGUCCCCACCCAGAGCCUUAACAGACAACUUUACAGUGUUUAUAAAUGGGUGUGAAAAGGUCUUAUUCUAGUAUACCUUCAGAAAUGCCUGUGAUCACAGUCUGUCAUUUAAAGGGACACUCCACUGCCAAAAUACAGAAUAAACAUAGCCGUCUAGAAGAUAUACACCAAAUGAAAAUCUGCAUGCAUUUAAUUAUGCUUUUUAUUGUGGAUAUAUCUAAAACCAACUUGCAAAACCGGCAGUUCUCUUGACUGUAGCCAGGCUUCCCCAAACUUUGACCCUCCAGAUGUUGCUGAACUACAGCUCCCAUGAUUCUCAGCCUAUCUAUUUCAUUCAUAGAAUCAUGGGAGUUGUAGUUCAGCAACAUCUGGAGGGCCAGAGUUUGGGGAAGCCUGUGUAGCCUUUGCAAACCCUCCCAGACUUUCUGUGGCUGUCCAAUAACAGCCUUCCCAAUGCAGCUCAAUGAAAGUCUUCGCAAGACAGAUGCUCUGAGCAAUUGCUGCCUCUUGAGUUUAGCUCCACUAAGCUAACCAAACCAGGAAGUAACAGGAACUGUUGUCUGAUUGAAAGCCAAGGGGGUGUAACCAGGUUACUUUAUAAAAGUGUCAGUUUCUAUUGAAAUCUGCGCUUUUUGCAAAAUGAAAAAGGGACACAAGAGGACACACUCUUCACGCAUAAGCCUUUCAGCAUUCUAAAGUGCUCUAUGGGUCUGGAGUGUCCCUUUAAAUUCUUUCUGAUACAUCUGGUAUACAUGCUUAGUUACCACCGUGAUCCUGUUCUUUUGUGGCAAACCUACGGCAUUUCCUGGCAGAGCUUUGAUAUGUCUGUCAUAGGUUAAAAAAACAGGAGAAUGGAAUGGAAAAUAUGAACGCAGAUGAAAAUAUGUUUAUGUAGACUCCAGAACCUGUACUAAAUCAAGCAGUUUUAUGUCUAACAAUUAUUUCUCAACCAGAACUAACAUAAAAUCUCUAGAAUGCUACGACGAUGUUCUAAUAAGUGAGAAAAGGAACGAUACAAGCAUGCAUUUUUUUAAUUUGCUUUUGAUAUCCUGUUUACGUGUUAAAAUAGAAGUCAUGUAAGCAGUCUAUAAAACAGUUGUUUUUCACAUGGUGUGGUAUGGCUCUGAGUCUGACACCACUCCCUUCCCUGGCUCAUUAUAUUGCACUUCAGACAUCAACCUAUUUCUGCUUUCUAAUCCUUUUGGUUCUUGUUAUACUUUUUAAAAAUCAGUGCUUGCUUGUGCUUGUGAAUUCAUUUAGUGCCCAUGUUUAAUUGAAGGUGGAAACUGUAUUUUAUGGCCAAAGUCUACUCAUGCGCACACCUCCCUUCAGGUACACUUGUGCAAGCAUUGAACUCUCAGGCGUGAGAGAGCACCGACUUCUGUUUUGUCUUGUUAGCAGUAAAUCUAAACAAAAACACCACAAAAACAUCAUGUUAGUAUUUUAAGUUUAUUUAUCCUUACCUGUUAAACAUAUUCUUUCAGUUCACGUUGUUCCUUGGAGAGUCAGGGCCCAUUAAAUUAAAGAGACACUAUAGUCACCAGAACAACUACAACCUAAUGUAGUUGUUCUAGUGUCUAUAGAAAAGGCAGUGUUUACAUUACUACCUAGGAACACCUCUAGUGGCAGUCACUCGCUAGAGGUGCUUCCUGGGUCAGUGCUGCUCAAUGUUGUGCUCUGCAUGGAGGCAAUGAACAUUACUUAUAGAGAUGCAUUGAUUCAAUGCGUCUAAAUGAGGAGAUGCUGAUUGGCGCAUGCACGAUUGCCUCCCAAUGCUUUUCUAUGGGAAAGCUUUGGCUUGGCUUAUAUCAUCAAGUUUGAUAAUCUGAGACAAGGGGCCAGUCUCAAGUGAGUAGAUAACCUUUUACCUUCCUGAAGUUGGACUGGUGAUCUAAUUUGCACUAUUAGAUCUUUAGUGUCAGGAAUACAUGUUUGUAAUUCUAUAGUAUUCCUUUUAUGUUGCCAUGUAUAAAGAUCUACAGCUAAAAUGUAUUUAGAAAGUAUUCAGACCACUUAAUUUUUUUUAACUUUUAUUAGGUUGCAGCCUUAUAUUACAAUUGUCUAAAUUAUUUUUUUUCAGGUGAAUCUACACUCAAUACCACAUGAUGACAAAGAAAUAAGCAGAUUUUCUCACCACUGCAAAUAUAUUAAAGAGAAAAAAAUGAAAUUCCAACUUGACACAAGUAUUCAGACCCUUAAGUCAGUACUUAAUUAAAACACCUUUGGCAGCAAUUGUAGCCUCAAUUUUUUUUGGUUAUGAUGUGACAAGCUUUGCACACCUGACGUUAAGUAGUUUUUGCUAUUCAUCUCUGCAG
rnacentral:lncRNA from 1 species